AACGAACGCUGGCGGCAUGCCUAACACAUGCAAGUCGAACGCCUGUAGCAAUACAGGAGUGGCAGACGGGUGCAAAACGCGUGGAAACCUAUCCUUGGGUUCGGAAUAACCGCGGGAAACUGCGGCUAAUACCGGAUACGUCCUUCGGGAGAAAGAUUUAUCGCCCAUUGAAGGGGUCCGCGUCUGAUUAGCUAGUUGGUGAGGUAAUGGCUCACCAAGGCGACGAUCAGUAGCUGGUCUGAGAGGAUGAUCAGCCACACUGGAACUGAGACACGGUCCAGACUCCUACGGGAGGCAGCAGUGGGGAAUAUUGGACAGUGGGCGCAAGCCUGAUCCAGCAAUGCCGCGUGGGUGAUGAAGGCCUUCGGGUUGUAAAGCCCUUUUGGCGGGGACGAUGAUGACGGUACCCGCCGAAUAAGCUCCGGCUAACUUCGUGCCAGCCGCCGCGGUAAAAC
rnacentral:rRNA from 1 species